rnacentral:rRNA from 1 species
GACGAACGCUGGCGGCGUGCCUAAUACAUGCAAGUAGAACGCUGAAGGAGGAGCUUGCUUCUCUGGAUGAGUUGCGAACGGGUGAGUAACGCGUAGGUAACCUGCCUGGUAGCGGGGGAUAACUAUUGGAAACGAUAGCUAAUACCGCAUAAGAGUAGAUGUUGCAUGACAUUUGAUUAAAAGGUGCAAUUGCAUCACUACCAGAUGGACCUGCGUUGUAUUAGCUAGUUGGUGGGGUAACGGCUCACCAAGGCGACGAUACAUAGCCGACCUGAGAGGGGGAUCGGCCACCCUGGGACUGAGACACGGCCCAGACUCCUACGGGAGGCAGCAGUAGGGAAUCUUCGGCAAUGGACGGAAGUCUUACCGAGCAACGCCGCGUGAGUGAAGAAGGUUUUCGGAUCGGAAAGCUCUGUUGUAAGAGAAGAAAGAGUGUGAGAGUGGAAAGUUCACACUGUGACGGUAUCUUACCAGAAAGGGACGGCUAACUACGUG